rnacentral:rRNA from 1 species
AAUGAUGGGAAUUUAAACCUCUUCCAGAGUAUCAAUUGGAGGGCAAGUCUGGUGCCAGCAGCCGCGGUAAUUCCAGCUCCAAUAGCGUAUAUUAAACUUGUUGCAGUUAAAAAGCUCGAAGUUGAACUUCUGCUGCAUCGUGGUUCUUCGCUAUGUCGAGUGGGCCUCGUUGUGGCUUAGUUGGGGCAUGUUUUCAUGUCUCGACGUUUACUUUGAGAAAAUUAGAGUGCUUCAAGCAGGCUUUUGCCUU